AAUCUGCUAAGAUCUCCUCCAACAACCCGACUGACAACUCCUCCAACAGCCAAACUGACAACUCCUUCAACAGUCAGACUGACAACUCCUUCAGCAGCCAGACUAACAGCUCUCACCAUAAUCAUCGCCAAAAACGUCAAGUCACUGAAUACAUCAUUGAAAUAUGGUUCUCUUCAGAUUAUCUCGACUAUGUCAACUUCUAUAUCGUCAACGGCAAUAACUCCGCGAGCACUAUAGCCGAUAUUCAACUCUUUUAUGCCUUUAUAGAAGAAUGUAUGGAAACGAAAUAUGCCACUAUAAGUGAAACGGACAGUACCUUUACUGUGGCUAUUCGAUCAACUGGAAUUUUCAUAGCUACUG